ACUUUAAGAACCCAAGCACUUAAGAACACAAAUGGAAAGCUAAAUAUUUCUGCUCGAGGAAAUUCUUGGGAAGAAUGAGAAAAUACCUGCACAGAGAAACCAUAAACCUCCAAACUCUGUAUAAAUUUAAUAAUACCACUUGGCAACCACAAACUCAAUUUCUUUUCUUAAAAAAAAAUCAGCCCACAUAGGAUAAAAAGACGUAGAAAUCUUGUGAAACUCAAAUGUUCUUGAUUUCCCUGAAACAACUCCAUAGAACCUUAAAAUCCCUGAAGAAUGCACAUACUAUCCUCAAAAUCUGAACAUCAUCACCCGUUAUCAUUUUCUUUCACCGACCUCAAGACUGGCUGACAAAAUCCCGAAAACAGAAGAAAAAAAUCAAAGAAUUUACAUAGUGGCAACCCCAAACCCAGAAAAUCUUAAGAGAGGACACACCCUUCAACACCGCUAAUUCCAUUCUCAUUCAUAUCCAUUAACCAUCCACCGCAGAAGCUGGAAAAAAUGAUAAUUUGUAUUUCAAUCCCCGCCAAAGUCAAAUGCUUUGUUUUUCUCUGCUACCAAUCCCACGCCAUCUACCUCUGCCUCCCUUUUCACUCACCGGAACCCUUCAGUUCUCUCCAAAAAUUUUUGUGGGUUUCUUUCGAUUUCGAAUUCUUCAGUUCCUCCUUCACCGGGAGCUUUAUGACGUGGUUGAGGUGGUCAUGGGUUUGGGUGGGAAGCCACUAGCGAGAUUUCCAUGCAUCUGGGGACUUUGUUUUAUCGGAUUGUCCCAUCACCCUUUAGGGUCCCCAGCAUGCUACUUCACAGGUAUUCAUAGAGGAAGUUGAAAAUCAUAUGCCCCAAGUGAGCGUGAUAGAUGAAAUCGGGACAAAACUUGAAGCAAUGGCUGUGAGUACAAUUGCACAGCAUGAGUUCAGCUAGUGGCCACUGCUCAUGGAAUCACAAUAGGAAUUUGAUAAUGAAUCCUUCUCUAGAGAUGCUUGUUGGAGGAAUAAAGGGAAAAUGUCAGAGCCUCAUAAAUGCCUUGUCGAAAACAUAUUAAGGGCCUAAGGACACAGGCAACAGAGGUAAAGACAAGGUCGUUCCCCAUAUGUGGAAGUUUGCAAGAUGACCUCUCAGGGAGUAGAAGAAACUGUAGAAAAUGAACCUGCCUUGAAACAUAUGCUGAAAAGAAAGAUGAUGUUUGGUUGAAGAUUUCCACUUGACAGAUGAAAGGAUUGGUCAUAAUGAGUUCACUUCUGAGUCUCAUCUGGACAUGGGAGAUAAUUCUUUGGAACAUGAAGUACUGCUUCGCCUUUAUAUCUAUAGGUGUGAAAAAUACUGGAUAUGGAACUUACAUAAAGAGGAUACAAAAUUGUCAGACAAGAUCAAUGCCCUGGAGGUAAAAGUUAAAUUUCUUCUUUCAGUUGUGUUUUUUGAGUAUUUAUUAUUGAUUAAUCUAUUUUGUGAAUUGAGUGCAUGAACGAUGGUUUAUGUUUACAAGGGAAGGGAAGAAUUCGUGGAUCACAAAACAGAGAAAGUCUAGCCUAAAAUCAUGUCAAAUAUUAUGCAAUUAAAAUCCUACAUCUGCAGCUGAUUCUAAGUUGAACUCUAUAGCUGUACAUUGUAACGGUAGCAUAGGUUUAGCCUUUACAUUUGUAUAAUUCCUAAACUACUGUGUAUAUAAUAUAAUACAUAAUUCUCAUCAAUGAAAUGUGUGUGAAAUAAUCAUUGAAACUA